rnacentral:rRNA from 1 species
AUUGAACGCUGGCGGCAGGCCUAACACAUGCAAGUCGAGCGGAGAGGCGGAAGGGUGAGUAAUGCCUAGGGAUCUGCCUGUUAGUGGGGGAUAACGUCCGGAAACGGGCGCUAAUACCGCAUGCUAUCAGAUGAGCCUAGGUCGGAUUAGCUAGUUGGUGGGGUAAAGGCCUACCAAGGCGACGAUCCAUAGGCGGUCUGAGAGGAUGAUCAGUAAAACUGGAACUGAGACACGGUCCAGACUCCUACGGGAGGCAGCAGUAGGGAAUCUUGGGCAAUGGGCGAAAGCCUGACCCAGCCACGCCGCGUGAGUGAAGAAGGUUUUCGGAUCGUAAAGCUCUGUAGUUUGAGAAGCGGUAUCAAAACAGUAAGCACCGGCUAACUACGUGCCAGCAGCCGCGGUAAUAC